rnacentral:rRNA from 1 species
GAUGAACGCUGGCGGCGUGCCUAAUACAUGCAAGUCGAGCGAACAGACGAUGAUCUUGCUCCUCUGACGUUAGCGGCGGACGGGUGAGUAACACGUGGAUAACCUACCUAUAAGACUGGGAUAACUUCGGGAAACCGGAGCUAAUACCGGAUAAUAUAUUGAACCGCAUGGUUCAAUAGUUAAAUACGGUUUUGCUGUCACUUAUAGAUGGAUCCGCGCCGCAUUAGCUAGUUGGUAAGGUAACGGCUUACCAAGGCGACGAUGCGUAGCCGACCUGAGAGGGGGAUCGGCCACACGGGAGCUGAGACACGGUCCAGACUCCUACGGGAGGCAGCAGUAGGGAAUCUUACGCAAAGGGCGAAAGCCUGACGGAGCAACGCCGCGUGAGUGAUGAAGGUCUUGGGAUCGUAAAACUCUGUUAUUAGGGAAGAACAAAUGUGUAAGUAACUAUGCACGUCUUGACGGUACCUAAUCAGAAAGCCACGGCUAACUACGUG